AUGUCCUCUCUAGAACGGGCGGUUAGCGAGGAUGCUGGUGAUGCACGGGGCCUGCUCGAGAAUUUCCAGGUUGAGCUAGUUGCGGUUGUCCCACCGGCAGACCAUCUUGUCAUUGUAGUGCUGCUCUUUGUGAUAGGGCAUGAGCAGGACGUCGGCACGAACCUCGUCCAGACAGCGGCGGAUGGUCUUCAGGAAUCCUGUGGCUGCAGCAUAGGAGGUGGAUUCACAUACCCCCUGGGCGCCUCUCCACCGCUGCACCCCAUUUCCCUUCCUAAGGUUGUGUUUUAUUUCACAUUGAUCAAUUUGUGGGGAGCAGGCCCAUAUGUAGCAAGGAGCAAGCUGCACAAGAAAUUAAUUGGAACCAAGAUACUCAUCUUUAAUUUAAUAGUAAGGGGUUGA
rnacentral:rRNA from 1 species